rnacentral:rRNA from 1 species
GACGAACGCUGGCGGCGUGCCUAAUACAUGCAAGUCGAGCGAAAGGACGAGAAGCUUGCUUUUCUGAUGUUAGCGGCGGACGGGUGAGUAACACGUGUAUAACCUACCUAUAAGACUGGGAUAACUUCGGGAAACCGGCGCUAAUACCGGAGAAUAUUUUGAACCGCAUGGUUCAAAAGUGAAAGACGGUGUUGCUGUCACUUAUAGAUGCAUCUGCGCUGCAUUAGCUAGUUGGUAGGGUAAAGGCUUAUCAAGGCGACGAUGCAUAGCCGACGUGAGAGGGUGGUCGGCCACACUGGAAGGGAGACGGGGACAUGAGGACUGAGGGAGGGCGCAGUAGGGUACGGUCGGCAAUGGGCGAGAGCCUGACGGAACGGCGCCGCGUGAGAGGUGGAGAUCUUCGGAUCGUGAAGCUCUGUUAUGAGGGAAAAACAUCUGUGUAAGUAACUGUGCAGAGCGUGACGGUACCGAAUAAGAAAGCAACGGCUAACUACGUG